rnacentral:rRNA from 1 species
UACGUAGGGGGCAAGCGUUGUCCGGAUUUAUUGGGCGUAAAGAGCUCGUAGGCGGUCUGUCGCGUCUGCUGUGAAAACUCAGGGCUUAACCCUGAGCUUGCAGUGGGUACGGGCAGACUAGAGUGCGGUAGGGGAGACUGGAAUUCCUGGUGUAGCGGUGAAAUGCGCAGAUAUCAGGAGGAACACCGGUGGCGAAGGCGGGUCUCUGGGCCGUAACUGACGCUGGAGGAGCGAAAGCAUGGGAGCGAACAGG